GACAUGUUAGCUCAGUGGUUAGAGCGCCGUGUGAGUUACACGGAAGGUCAUGAGUUCGAAGGUCAUGAGUUCGAUUCUCAUACAAGUCA
rnacentral:tRNA from 1 species